rnacentral:rRNA from 1 species
AUUGAACGCUGGCGGCAUGCCUUACACAUGCAAGUCGAACGGUAACGCGGGGCAACCUGGCGACGAGUGGCAAACGGGUGAGUAAUGUAUCGGAACGUGCCCAGUUGUGGGGGAUAACUGCUCGAAAGAGCAGCUAAUACCGCAUACGACCUGAGGGUGAAAGCGGGGGAUCGCAAGACCUCGCGCAGUUGGAGCGGCCGAUAUCAGAUUAGGUAGUUGGUGGGGUAAAGGCUCACCAAGCCAACGAUCUGUAGCUGGUCCGAGAGGACGACCAGCCACACUGGGACUGAGACACGGCCCAGACUCCUACGGGAGGCAGCAGUGGGGAAUUUUGGACAAUGGGCGCAAGCCUGAUCCAGCCAUGCCGCGUGCGGGAAGAAGGCCUUCGGGUUGUAAACCGCUUUUGUCAGGGAAGAAAAGACUCCUGUUAAUACCGGGGGUUCAUGACGGUACCUGAAGAAUAAGCACCGGCUAACUACGUGCCAGCCGCCGCGGAAAAAC